rnacentral:tRNA from 1 species
GGGGAGAUACCAAAGUGGCCAACUGGGGCUGACUGUAACUCAGCUGACAUCGUCUUCGUAGGUUCGAAUCCUGCUCUCCCCACAA